GCCUUGCUCAAAUGAGUUUAUAAGCUAUAAUCAUCAUAAAACGUCAGAACACCAUCGCUUUACCAUAGCAACCUCCUUUCCAGUCAGUGAUGUGCUAACCAGGAGAAUAUACAGGCACCCAUGAUUGUCUAACUCUGCUCAAAACAAGAGAAUGGUGUCUAUUUACUAAAUUACAGUUAAUUAAAACUGUACUCCUAGAUAUAAUAAUGCUUUUAGUUUGCUGAACUCAUGACAAAUGUCUGAUUGUACUAUUUUGAUAAAUAGUAAUAUAGGGACUAUAAUGUGAGGCUUACGAGAAGUCCCUUUGUGAGAAAAAAGAAGAAACUAGAUAAAGAUAACUGAAUAGAGACAACACUAGGUUGGAAAUAGAUGGGAGAUAGAGACAUUUAUUUGUAUUACUUUAUCUACAAGAAGAUAAGAAGGUGAGAAAGGAGAUUAGACAGUUUAUGUAUAGAUUCAAUGUAUAUUGAUUGUGAAGACUUUACAUGUUU